rnacentral:rRNA from 1 species
UACGUAAGGUGCAAGCGUUGUCCGGAAUUAUUGGGCGUAAAGAGCUCGUAGGCGGUCUGUUGCGUCGGCUGUGAAAACCCGAGGCUCAACCUCGGGCCUGCAGCCGAUACGGGCAGACUAGAGUUCGGCAGGGGAGACUGGAAUUCCUGGUGUAGCGGUGAAAUGCGCAGAUAUCAGGAGGAACACCGGUGGCGAAGGCGGGUCUCUGGGCCGAUACUGACGCUGAGGAGCGAAAGCGUGGGGAGCGAACAGG